rnacentral:tRNA from 1 species
GCUCUCAUGGUGGAAUGGUAGACACAACAGACUUAAAAUCUGUCAAUCAGCAAUGGUUGUCUGGGUUCAACUCCCAGUGGGAGUACCA